rnacentral:rRNA from 1 species
UACGUAGGUCCCGAGCGUUGUCCGGAAUUACUGGGUGUAAAGGGUGCGCAGGCGGUCUUGUGCGUCAGAAGUGAAAUAUCACGGCUUAACCGUGAGGGUGCUUUUGAUACGGCAAGACUUGAGUACGGGAGAGGAUGAUGGAAUUCCUGGUGUAGCAGUGAAAUGCGUAGAUAUCAGGAGGAACACCGGUGGCGAAGGCGGUCAUCUGGCCCGGUACUGACACUGAGAGACGAAAGCUAGGGGAGCGAAUGGG